ACUCAAAGGAAUUGACGGGGGCCCGCACAAGCGGCGGAGCAUGCGGAUUAAUUCGAUGCAACGCGAAGAACCUUACCUGGGCUUGACAUGUUUCUGACGACGCCAGAGAUGGCGUUUCCCUUCGGGGCAGAUUCACAGGUGGUGCAUGGUUGUCGUCAGCUCGUGUUGUGAAAUGUUGGGUUAAGUCCCGCAACGAGCGCAACCCUCGUCUCGUGUUGCCAGCGGUUCGGCCGGGAACUCACGAGAGACCGCCGGAGUUAAUCCGGAGGAAGGUGGGGUCGAAGUCAAAUCAUCAUGCCCCUUACGUCCAGGGCUUCACGCAUGCUACAAUGGCCGGUACAAUGAGAUGCAAUAUCGCAAGAUGGAGCGGAUCUCAAAAACCGGUCUCAGUUCGGAUCGGAGCCUGCAACUCGGCUCCGUGAAGGUGGAGUCGCUAGUAAUCGCAGAUCAGCAACGCUGCGGUGAAUGCGUUCCCGGGCCUUGUACACACCGCCCGU
rnacentral:rRNA from 1 species